rnacentral:misc_RNA from 1 species
GGAAGGAUCAUUACCGUAUUUAAAAAAAAUACAUGGAUGAGUUUACAACUGUAUUUGUAAUAUGUUACAGUAUAAAACUCAUAGAGUGGAGUCUCACCAUGGCCACAUAAGUCUCUAUUACAAUGUUAAAGUUGUAGAUAGAGUAAGGUGAGGCAGUAUUUGCCAAUGUUGUGAGUACUGUGUGGAUUGGUAGGGUUUUUACUCGAGCUUGAAAUGUGUGAAGAGGAUUACGAGUCUCAGGUAGACUUUUAUGUAAAGUCUUCAAAGAACAAUUGUGUUCGCCUGAGUUCACUUCUUCACUACAAGUGCUCAAGUGUACCCUAGUUCUUUUAUAAAGAACUUAAAACAGCAAAAACUGUGAAAAAUGUGAAUGUUGUAAUAUAACAAGAAAAAUAUUAAGAGAAAAAAUCAACCUCGAGUGGUGGAUCACUCGGCUCGUGGGUCGAUGAAGAACGCAGCUAACUGCGUGCAGACGUGUGAACUGCAGGACACAUGAACACCGACGUUUUGAACGCAUAUGGCGGUUUGAAAUAAAUUUCAAACCACGUCUGGCUGAGGGUCGGAUAUAAAAUCAAAAUCACAAAUGCUCAGUUCAAAUGAACUGUAGUUUGAUCGUCAAGUCUUUUUACAGGCUUGAUUAGAAUAAGCAUAUAAUGUUUGCCAAGUUUGUUUCAAAUGUAUGUGAACAAACAGCAAAUUUAUGUAAAAGUACGAAAAAUUUGUGGGAAUGGUAACAUAUAUGCAAGGAAUUGUUUGUAAAACACUUCAUAAAUACGACCUCAGAGUAGGCGAGAUUACCCGCUAAAUUUAAGCAUAUUAAUAAGCGGAGGAAAAGAAACUAACAAGGAUUCCCUUAGUAACGGCGAGCGAAAAGGGAAGAGCCCAGCGCUGAAUCUGGCAUCCUACGGAUGUUAAGAAAUGUAGCGUUUGGGACGAGACAUUGCCAGUACAUGAUAAUCAUCCAAGUCCCUCUUGAACGGGGCCAUAGCCCAAGGAGGGUGCUAGGCCCGUACGAUGAUUUUGUUGUAUUGUGCGUCUCGUCCGUAGAGUCGGGUUGCUUGGGAGUGCAGCCCAAAUCAGGUGGUAAACUCCAUCUAAGGCUAAAUAUGACCACGAGACCGAUAGCGAACAAGUACCGUGAGGGAAAGUUGAAAAGAACUUUGAAGAGAGAGUUCAAUAGUACGUGAAACCUCUCGGGGGUAAGCGGGCAGAACUUGCAAGUAUUGACAGAGAGAUUCAGACUUAAUGUUGGUAGCUGAGAGUGCAUAUUAUGUUGUUCGUUCGCGGACUAGCUGGUUUGUACACUUUGAUCUGCUGAUGAUGCGUCGCAUUUCUCUUUGUCAUCGGGUUGCAUGCAACUGAGAUGGUAAUUUUAUGGGUUGAGAAUCUGCAAAUCCUUGUGGUUUGAGUCUUGAUUUCUAAUUACUUAUGCGGUUGUGACAAAAUUGAGCAGGCAUUUAUUGCGGUCAAAUAUUUUUACGAGCAGGGUGUAUAUUGUGCAUGGACGAGUAAUCGUAGUGUAUGUUAUAUACUGGUUGUCGGUGAGAAUAUUUUGGCACUGUUCAAAUAUUGCAAUCUAAAGCAUGCGUGGUCUGCCUGUCCCGUCUUGAAACACGGACCAAGGAGUCUAACAUGUGCGCGAGUCAUUGGGAAUGUAAACCCAAAGGCAUAAUGAAAGUGAAGAUCCAUAUUGUGGAUUUGAGGAGAGAUCAUGGCUUAACUUGUGAUUCCGAAAGGUUUUGUAAGUUGAAGUAUGCGCAUCUUCUGGACGUCUAUACCUCUGAAGGUGGGGCGUACCUAGAGCGUACACGUUGGGACCCGAAAGAUGGUGAACUAUGCCUGGUCAGGACGAAGCCAGGGGAAACCCUGGUGGAGGUUCGUAGCGAUUCUGACGUGCAAAUCGAUCGUCGGAACUGGGUAUAGGGGCGAAAGACUAAUCGAACCAUCUAGUAGCUGGUUCCCUC